UUAAUUAGGGUACUCCUAAGGCUUAGGAAGAGCCACACUCAAGGGGCCAAAGAGCCCCAUGUGGCUCACGAGCCGCAGUUUGCUGACCAUGGAGCUAGGGCAUCUUUUGAUUCUGUUAAAAAAUUUUAAUGCCCAUGGAGUGUUCAUUCUACCAUUGCCUAAUCCAAUUUGCUGCACCUUCUACUCAGCCCAAAGAAAUUGUAUAUUCUUCCCUUCCUUGACUGAAAGACCAGAUUUCAGGUCAUCUUUGCUCCUGCCUGAUUCUGCGUGAUACUCAGAGUCCUUUGUUGUACUGUUUGCUAGUAAGUCCCAGUCUCCUGUAGUGACCACCUUAGAAAGCUUGCAUAUUUCCUUGGCCUGGGUGAGUUUGGUGAGCUGGGUGUAGGGUGUACUACUCCAUAGAAAGCAGUAGUUCUAGUAAACAACAAAUGACUAAGACUGAUAAUUCUUUGCAUUUUUAAAAAAUUAAUCUUGCUCAUAAAAUUUGGUCCUACUAAGAAUCCUCUCUUGUUCAUAACUACGUAGAGUUUGAGGAUGACCCCAACAAAGCUAAGGGAAAACGAAAAUCUGUAUGAUACUGGAUGAACUAUAGCAAGUUAACCAGCCCUACCACUGCCAAUAAGUUGCCCAUUUUGCAAGUCACUUUGAGUUAAAUUUUCUCACUUGCAACAUAAGCUAUCCUUACUUUAGGCCCUCAAGACAAAAUACCCAGAUUGCUUUUUUCUGAAGAGAUUUAACAUAGGCAACAAACACUUAAUAUUUAUAAUGUUUACCUCACACUAGACAAUUUGGUUUGGGGUCUCCUCAUCCUACAAGGAAAGUAUUGGGCAGGGAUAAGAGUAAAAUAGUCCAUCAUAAUCUGUCAACUUAGAAACAGCUUUCUAACCAUAUGAAAAAAGUUUCAGUUACAUCAAGUUCACUGGCAUGUUUGUAAUUUGUCUUAAAUAUUUUAGUCAUAUUACCACUUGUAGUUUUUUAAAAUUUAUUUUCAGUUUUUAUACAACAACCCCUUUCUACCAUAACACACAGCUAAUCUAUGUUUUAGCUCCUCACUCUUAAAAAUGAACAGGAAAGCCCUGGCUGGUUUGGCUCAGUGGAUAGAGCGUCGGCCUGUGGACUGAAGGGUCCUAGGUUCUAUUCCAGUGAAGGGCACGUGCCCGGGUUGCGCCCUUGAUCCCCAAUAGUGUGUGUGCAGGAGGCAGCCAAUCAGUGACUCUCAUCAUUGAUGUUUCUCUCUCCCUCUCUGAAAUCAAUAAAAAUAGAGUUUUAAAAAAUACAUGAACAGGCAAUCGAGUGAGGAUUACCAGACAGGUAGCUGAGACAUCUUGAUCAUGGAAAGCAAGGAACGAAACAAAUGGGAAACCGUGGAGAAAGCAGAUAGUGCAAGAAGCAAAUCUUUUUUGUUUUUUAAGAAAUACAUCCUCACCUUGGCCGGUGUGGCUUGGUUGGUUGGAGCAUCAUCCCGUACACCAGAAGGUUGUGGGUUCGGUUCCGGGUCAGGGCACGUGCAGGAGGCAGUCAAUCGAUGUUUCUCUCUCUAAAAUCAAUUUUUAAAAAACAUUUAAAAGAUUUUAAAAAGACCCCAAAGUUUCUUACCCCCUUCUUCUAGGUGAGGACAGAAUGAGAAGACUGCUGUCCAGUUGACUGGAUUUGAGUGAUAAUUCCCCAAAAUAAGAUAGAUAGAUGGGUAGAGAGUGAGAAAGACAGAAAUCUGCUGUUCCAUCCACUCAUGCACCCACUGGUUGAUUCCUGUAUGUGCCCUGACUAGGGAACGAACCUCAACCCUGGCACAUCAGGACAACACUGCAACCAACUGAGCCCUGGACCAGGGCGCUCCUACUUUUAAGAGAACUGCUUGUUUCUUGUAGUACGCUUGUUUGACCAUAGGGGGCACAAGGUCACUGUCAAAAGUUGAAUAAAUUACUCAUACCU